rnacentral:sRNA from 1 species
UUUUAGCCCAGAUAAAAUGAAAAGCCUUAUGAAAAAAACUGCUAAUUUUUGUGGAAGUAAAAAAGCGACCAAAGGAAGCUCUUUUUACUUUUUACAAAAACAGCAGUUUUUGAGUAAGCUUGUAGUGGAUAGCUGGAUUGGCU